CCUACGGGUGGCAGCAGUGGGGAAUAUUGGGCAAUGGGCGCAAGCCUGACCCAGCAACGCCGCGUGAAGGAAGAAGGCUUUCGGGUUGUAAACUUCUUUUCUCAGGGACGAAGCAAGUGACGGUACCUGAGGAAUAAGCCACGGCUAACUACGUGCCAGCAGCCGCGGUAAUACGUAGGUGGCAAGCGUUAUCCGGAUUUACUGGGUGUAAAGGGCGUGUAGGCGGGACUGCAAGUCAGAUGUGAAAACCACGGGCUCAACCUGUGGCCUGAAUUUGAAACUGUAGUUCUUGAGUACUGGAGAGGCAGACGAAAUUCCGAGGGGAGGGGGGAAAGGCGGAGAUAAUAGGAGGAA
rnacentral:rRNA from 1 species